UGAGGCUCUUCAGCUUGGCUGGACGGCGCCUCAGGAAGUCUCGCUGUAGCUCCGUGAAGCAGGUGGAGAACUCGCCCUCUUUCCCCAGCAGCCUGAGUUUAACGAGGUUUCCUCGUGUGUUGGAACGAAGACGAAGUCGCUAUUAAUGUUAAGGCAGACCUAUGCGGCCCGAUUUUGGAACUAUGAAAUCCACAAGCUUCGCCAUCAGUGGAACCAGAAAGAGCCUCAAAUCUCCCCCGCCCCUGCUUGAGAAGGACGCCCUGUUGGGGAAAAACUCUCAGACUGUGGGAGAUUUCUGCCCAGAAAUAAGAAAAGGGAGAGAAAGAAGCUGUGUUACGGGCCACGGGCUGAGAGCCCGGUGGCUAAAAGCGCUCACCCAGGGCAUCGAAGGCAGGUAGCACGUCGAACUCCACCCCCUCCUGGAG